GACGAACGCUGGCGGCGUGCCUAACACAUGCAAGUCGAGCGGGGUUUUCUUUAGCACUGAGUACUCUUAAACGUUGGUAGUAGGCAGCGUUUAUGCAGAAACGACCUUAAAAAUCAGAUGGAGGUUUCUGCAUUACGCGUUAAACAGUGCCAACACAGGAUAUGAGAGUAUUGAGUGCUAAAGAAAAACCUAGCGGCGGACGGGUGAGUAACGCGUGAGCAACCUGCCUUGCACAGGGGGAUAACAACCGGAAACGGUUGCUAAUACCGCAUGAGACCCCACUAUCGCAUGAUAGAGAUGUUAAAGGGACUACCGGUGCAAGAUGGGCUCGCCGUCCCAUUAGUUAGUUGGUAGGGUAACGGCCUACCAAGGCGACGAUGGGUAGCCGACCUGAGAGGGUGAUCGGCCACACUGGGACUGAGACACGGCCCAGACUCCUACGG
rnacentral:rRNA from 1 species